rnacentral:rRNA from 1 species
YGACUCUCGGCAACGGAUAUCUCGGCUCACGCAUCGAUGAAGAACGUAGCAAAAUGCGAUACUUGGUGUGAAUUGCAGAAUCCCGUGAACCAUCGAGUUUUUGAACGCAAGUUGCGCCCAAAGCCUUUUGGCCGAGGGCACGUCUGCCUGGGCG